GAAAGUUUCCACAAUCAUCCCUUUUUUUUAUUUCACCUUUGCUUCAGACUCUGCCAUUACAGAGUCUGCAGUAGACGUGUGCCGACUUUUGCUACAAACGCUCCUUUACUACUUCUCUUGGUUUUCAGGACAUCGUAAGGAUUUCGCUUCCAGAUCAACCAGCUCUUCCAGUUUUACCUGCCUGCAGUGAACCACCUGAGUUCCUGAGAUCUGAUGUCGGCCCCUCAACAGACUCGAGUAAGAACCCUCCUUUGUCAUGUUAGUGGAGAACAACAACAGACCCGGAUGCUGGAACCCGGAAAGAAGACGGAUACAGGAAUGGAUUACAGUCACUGUUUAUUGGGAGGAAACUGGCAUUCAGGAAAAGUGUUCUGUGGCUGGAGGAGGACUCUGUGAUGACGUCUUGGGAUGACGGCCGGGAACAAACUACAUUCAUUAAUUUCUCCUUCAUGAUCAAAUUUCAACGCAAGUUCAAUGGCUGCACGUUUUGUACAUAGAACAGGACAUUUAAAACGUAGCCAUGUGUAAACGCAUGUGUGGACUUUUUAUUGUUAGGGAUUGCUUGCACGCAUUAUGCUGAGGCUUAUUUGAACGUAGCAUUAUGAAAGUUGAUUGACAGGUUAUGUCAAUUUAUGUAUUUUUUUUUAAAUAAAUGUAUUGCCAACACAAAGCCAAGGUAGAUUGUGUGCUAAAAUCUUUAUGGUAUUGUGGAUAAACAAAGAUAGUGCAGGUAGCCUUAACAAGAUGAAACAGAAAGUUAAGAUUUAGGUAACUAGAGUACUUUUAUUCUUGUAUGCAGAUUAAAGGGAUACCAUUCUGAGAGAACCCACCCACGAGGCCGAUGUUGAGGCUGAGCCAGGAGAAUAAAUGCCUCUCAUUCAUGACAAAUGCCAUGACAGAUGAGGGGAGACUUGAUUCCAAACGUGACCAUGUGUCAUGGUGCCUCUGGGAGUCUCUCCUCCCCCUCCCCUCUCUGUUCUGCUUCCUGAUUUGGAUCAGCUGGUAACACUCACCUCAUCAACCACCAGCCUUCAUAGGGAUAUUCAGUUCCAGCGUUCAUCGCCAGUUCGUUGCCCCUGAUGGACUUCAAACCACUAGUGUUCACCUGAGUCACACGUCUCCAAAAGCAGACUUAUCCUCACUGAAAAUCCUGAGAACUCCAAGCCACGCCAAGACCUCCAGACACGCCACGACUCCAAGCCACGGCAAAAAUAAAACUCAAUUACUUAUCAUCUUACUCACCUGUGUUUUCCUUCCGGGUUCCAGCGCCUGGGUCUGUCCCGCCUAGCAAGUCAUGACACCAUGGAUUCUUUUGGUCAGUUGUUUGUCAUCCUGACAAAGAGAAGAUUCCUACAAAUGUUCAAUUUGAGGGCAAGUCAAACACCAUCUGAACAAACUGUUUCUAAGCACCACGAUCGGAUCAACAAUCGGCAUGACCCAUCUAUCUCCAUCAGAAAGAAAUGUUGAUCCGAAUGAGUCCGAUCAGGGCAUGUAAACGCAGCUAUUGAGAGAAAUGAUGAAUAAAGACCAGAAUGUAGACAUAAAAGACACAAACUGAAAAUGGAGAAAAGAUUUAUUGUAUAAACUAAAAAAACUUUCAUGGGCUGAAUCAUGCUGGCCGAAACUAGAACAGGAUCUUACUCAGUUGUCAGAAAAGGAUGUUACAGAGUCCUGACCACUAUAUCAUAGAGACCGAACAGAAGAAAGUUAAUAGGAU